GAACGCUGGCGGCGUGCUUAACACAUGCAAGUCGAACGGAAAGGCCCUGCUUUUGUGGGGUGCUCGAGUGGCGAACGGGUGAGUAACACGUGAGUAACCUGCCCUUGACUUUGGGAUAACUUCAGGAAACUGGGGCUAAUACCGGAUAGGAGCUCCUGCUGCAUGGUGGGGGUUGGAAAGUUUCGGCGGUUGGGGAUGGACUCGCGGCUUAUCAGCUUGUUGGUGGGGUAGUGGCUUACCAAGGCUUUGACGGGUAGCCGGCCUGAGAGGGUGACCGGCCACAUUGGGACUGAGAUACGGCCCAGACUCCUACGGGAGGCAGCAGUGGGGAAUAUUGCACAAUGGGCGGAAGCCUGAUGCAGCAACGCCGCGUGCGGGAUGACGGCCUUCGGGUUGUAAACCGCUUUCGCCUGUGACGAAGCGUGAGUGACGGUAAUGGGUAAAGAAGCACCGGCUAACUACGUGCCAGCAGCCGCGGUGAUACGUAGGGUGCGAGCGUUGUCCGGAUUUAUUGGGCGUAAAGGGCUCGUAGGUGGUUGAUCGCGUCGGAAGUGUAAUCUUGGGGCUUAACCCUGAGCGUGCUUUCGAUACGGGUUGACUUGAGGAAGGUAGGGGAGAAUGGAAUUCCUGGUGGAGCGGUGGAAUGCGCAGAUAUCAGGAGGAACACCAGUGGCGAAGGCGGUUCUCUGGGCCUUUCCUGACGCUGAGGAGCGAAAGCGUGNGGAGCGAACAGGCUUAGAUACCCUGGUAGUCCACGCUGUAAACGGUGGGUACUAGGUGUGGGGUCCAUUCCACGGGUUCCGUGCCGUAGCUAACGCUUUAAGUACCCCGCCUGGGGAGUACGGCCGCAAGGCUAAAAUUCAAAGGAAUGGACGGGGCCCCGCACAAGCGGCGGAGCAUGCGGAUUAAUUCGAUGCAACGCGUAGAACCUUACCUGGGUUUGACAUGGAUCGGGAGUGCUCAGAGAUGGGUGUGCCCCUUUUGGGGUCGGUUCACAGGUGGUGCAUGCCUGUCGUCAGCUCGUGUCGUGAGAUGUUGGGUUAAGUCCCGCAACGAGCGCAACCCUUGUUCACUGUUGCCAGCACGUUAUGGUGGGGACUCAGUGGAGACCGCCGGGGUCAACUCGGAGGAAGGUGGGGAUGACGUCAAGUCCUCAUGCCCCUUAUGUCCAGGGCUUCACGCAUGCUACAAUGGCUGGUACAGAGAGUGGCGAGCCUGUGAGGGUGAGCGAAUCUCGGAAAGCCGGUCUCAGUUCGGAUUGGGGUCUGCAACUCGACCUCAUGAAGUCGGAGUCGCUAGUAAUCGCAGAUCAGCAACGCUGCGGUGAAUACGUUCCCGGGGCUUGUACACACCGCCCGUCAAGUCAUGAAAGUUGGUAACACCCGAAGCCGGUGGCCUAACCGUUGUGGGGGAGCCGUCGAAGGUGGGACUGGUGAUUAGG
rnacentral:rRNA from 1 species